rnacentral:rRNA from 1 species
CCUACGGGAGGCAGCAGUGGGGAAUAUUGCACAAUGGGCGAAAGCCUGAUGCAGCAACGCCGCGUGGGUGAUGAAGGCCUUCGGGUCGUAAAACUCUGUCCUCAAGGAAGAUAAUGACGGUACUUGAGGAGGAAGCCCCGGCUAACUACGUGCCAGCAGCCGCGGUAAUACGUAGGGGGCUAGCGUUAUCCGGAUUUACUGGGCGUAAAGGGUGCG